rnacentral:sRNA from 1 species
GCAAAAUUUGUUCUUUUGAGGAGGGAGGUGCAUUCACAGGAGGAGAAAUACGAGUAUUCUGGUUAUUUUAACGAAUGAGAAAGAGAACUUGCUAGAUGUGAAGGAAGAAGAGAAAGGAAAUGUGCAGCCAUGUGGGUUGUGGGUUCCUAAACAGGAUCAACUCUGAACACUGACUUUGCUUUCCUGACUCUGUUUUCCAUCUCUUUCCUCCAGUCGGGUGGUUUCAUGGACAUGUUUGGGAUGAUGAAUGACAUGAUUGGAAACAUGGUGAGACUUGCCCCAUACCCUUCCCCGGCCUUGCUCUCAGUGAUGGCUGACAACACCUUGCAUCCUCUAAGGCAAGAGGGAGACAGUAUGCUAGUGAAGGGUAAAGUACUGGAUAAAGUAAUUGAACCAGAGAGCCUUGGGACCCUGUAUCUGCUGUCAUGCCUGCCUGAAGCAGCCAGCAGCAGCUCUCUUACGUAGCAUACAAUUAAGGCCCUGUCUCUUCAGGUCCUUCUUGCUCGUGGUUGGACUCAGAGGAAUUUGGGAGGGUAAUGAUGAGGCCUGAUGUUUUUUCAGUUCUUGCAUUUUGUGAGAAAGAUACAGGCUAGAACAGGCAGCUGAAGGGUGAAAUCCCUUCACCAGGGGUGACGC